rnacentral:lncRNA from 1 species
CCCCUCCUCUGCUUCAGAGAGCCUCGUCCAUGGAUGCAGGGGAGGGGGCCGGGCUGGGGUCUUGCCGACUUGCCUCCUGCGUGGAGACCAGAGGCCUUGUCUCCUCAGCCUGCUGCACUCUGUUGAGGGAAGCAUGUUCCCAGGCCCCGGGAAACCCUCAGGGAGCAAGAAUCCCCGAGAAGCAGCACUGCCCAACCGUCACUCACGGUCCACCUUCACCCUGGUCACCCCAUCCGAGAAUCAGCUGCGUGUGUACUUGUCAUACUAAUAUUUGACCAAGCAUUUUUCUUUAAAAUGUGGCCUCUCUAGCCCCUUCAACAAACAGUGCUGGGACAGCUGGAUUUCCACAUGUAAAAGAACCCCUCCCCCAGGCCACAUGCAAAAGUGAGUUCCAAAUGGACCGACCACAGGCUACAGUGAGCACUAAAGCUACGGAACUCCUAGAAGAAAACUUAGCAGUAACUCCUCAGGACCAAGGAUUUGACAACUGAUUGUUAGACAUGACACCAAAGCAACAGCACCAAAAGAAAAGAUGGAUUAAUCAAAAUAAAAAUAAAGAGUGCAUCUGUCAGAAGACACUUUCUAGAAAGUGAAAAUAAGCCAUGUCACACAUGGGUGAUUCCGGUGCCUCAGGAGGCUGAGGCAAGAGGAUCCCAAGUUGAAGGCCAGCCUCAGCAACUCAGGAAGACCCUAUCUUGAAAUAAAAAAUAAAAAUGGAGAGGAUGUCACUCCGUGGUGAAACACCCCUGGGUCCAGUCCCCCAGGACCACAAAAAGAAAGUGAAUUACAACUUAAAGAAUGGGAGAAAAUACUUGUAAAUCAUAGAUCUGAUAUGGGUCUAGUAUCCAGAAGACAGAUGAUAAGUAGAUAAUAGAUAGAUAUCUUAAAACUCAACAAUAAAAAGAAAAAUACACACAGCCCACAUUCCCAGCCCUGUUUUGUAUUUUAUUAGAGACAGGGUCUCACUGAGUUGCUUAGUACCUCGCUAAAUUGCUGAGGCUGGCUUUGAACUCAUGAAAAAAUUGAAUCAAUAAUUAAUAACCUUCCAAAACAGAAAAUCUGAGGUACAGAUGGGUUCACCAGAGAAUUCUAACAUUCAAAGUAUCUCCAGAAAAAAAUUUACCAAUUCUCUACAAUCUCUUUCAGGGAUUGGAGGCAGAGGAAACAUUUCUUAACUCAUCCUACAAAGCCAGCAUUACCAGAGGCCAAAACCAGACACUACAAGAAAACUACAGACCAAUACCUCCUUUGAGUAUGCAAAAAAUAAAUGCAAAAAAUUCUCAAUAAAAUAUUAGUAAAUUGAAUCCAGUAGUGUUUAAAAAGAAUUCUAUACUAUGACUCAGUAGAACUUAUCCUGGAUGUGCAAGGCUGGUUCAACAUUUGAAGGUGAAUUAAUGCAGCCCAUCAACAGGUUAUAAAGGAAAAUGCACUUAAUCAAAUCAAGAAAUGAAGAAAAAGCAUUUGCCAAAUUAUAUGCUCAUUCGUGAUGUGAAAAAAAAAAGUCUCAGUAAACUAGGAAUAAAGGAAAACUUCCUUAACUUAAUGAAGAAUAGCUACCAAAAAAACCUACAACUAAUAUCAUCCUUAAUGAUGAGAAACUAGAAGCUCCACUAAGGUCAGGAACAAAGUAAGGAUGCUCCCUCUCGCCCCUCUUUUUCAGCAUCUCACUAGAAAUCCUAGCCAAUGUGAUAAGGUAAGAAAGGGAAAUAAAAGGUUUACAGAUGAAAAGGGAGAAAUAAAACUGCUUUUGCUUGUGGACGACAGCAUCAUUUAUGUAGAAAAUCCAAAUGAACUGACACAGAAACUCAUAAAACAAAUACUUGAUUUUGACAGGGUGUAGGGUAAAAUGUUAAUAUACAAAAGUCAAUCAUUUCCUCUAUACUAUCAAUGAGCAAGUAAAAUUUUCAAUCUAAAACAUAAUGCCAUUUACAUUAGCAUCCACCCAAAUGAAAUGCUUAGGUAUAAAUCUACAAAUGUACAAGACCAUAUGAGAAAAACUACAAAACCUGGACGAACAAAAUCAAAGAAGAAUGGAGAACAGAUAUUCCUUAUUCAUUAAUAAGAAGACUUGGGCUGGGGACAUAGCUCAGUUGGUAGAGUGCUUGCCUCCCAUGCACAAGGCCUUGGAUUCAAACCCCAGCACCAAAAAAAAAAAAAAAAAAAGAAAAGAAA